rnacentral:misc_RNA from 1 species
AACACCUCAACUCCCUUUUCUUUUUUGAAAUUGGAGCUGGACUUGAGUGAUCCCAACGCUUUCUUCCAAGAAAGUGGCGGGUUGCUUGAAAUGCAGGUGCAGCUGAACUUUUCUCUGAGCUAUAAGCAUAUCUAUUUAGUCUGCCUAAAAAACAGAUUAUUACCUUUGCUGCAGCUAACAUAAAGGAGACUAGUUCUUGUGCUGACUGAUGCAGGAUUCACAGAGACAGCUUCGGCUGACUUUGUAA